UUAGAAUAACCCGAAGCUCCGACAUCCUUACCAUUCGUGAGUUUAAUCUUGGGUGGUUCGCAUCAUUGUUGUAUUGUCCUCGCGAGUCCCAUCGAAAGAACUGUAAGCUCCAUCAUGGAAGUUGCCAAAGUGAACGAUUCGAGCAGCAGCCUCGUCGAGCAAUCAAUGAAUGUAACGUCAGCAUCAAAAUCCGUCUCGACGUCGAAAUCCGUACAGAGCGUACAGACGAAGUCAGUCGUGGAGUCGUCGACCUCAGUUAAAUCCGUCUCUUCGUCAUCCACCAGAUCACACCAAUCGGUAGAAUACGAGGAAUCGAUCGAGUACAGCGAUUAGUGCGAUUAGAAUAAUAGAAAUCCUCUCAAUAAAAGACAUCACGCGGGAAAAAGCUAAAAGACGCAACCAAAAUCGGCUCGAUUCGAUUCAUCGUGCAUCUUCGGAUUCGAUCACGCUAUUUCUUCUUCGAAAGAAAAAAAUUAUGUUCGUGUUGGAAAUGACAAAUAUCACUCGUAAGCUUCGAAGGAAAAAAUUAACGACGGAAUUCCGUGACCUCUUCUCCAAUUUUGCUCCUCGAGGAUCCACGAUAGAUGAUCGAGCGGAAACGAGAGAGUCGAAUUGACAGGUCAAGGCGUUUACUCGGCAGGAUUGUGCACCGAAAUAACGAGAUAGUCGCAUGCACAGUCUCGCUAUGCGACGAGAAGAAAUACCACGAGUCAGAGGAGACGGAUGGAGAGGAAGAAAUUGAAAAUGUGCCCGCGAAGGAACGCUCGGAAGUCUCUGGCCCUCAUCCAAUCGAUGUAACUCGCCGCCAAAUAGCGAUUCAACUUUCUUUUUACUUACGAGUUUUUUGUUUUCCUCAUCGACGCAUCGAGUAGAUCACUUGACAUGUAUAACUACUCAUUUGCCUUUGUAUAAUGAACUUUCUAAGACACUAUAUUGAAGUUUGCUCAUUGACUCUUUCUCUCUCUCUCCCUCUCUCUCUCUCUCUCUUUAAUUAUAUAGUUUAUAAUUAACUCUCUAUAAUAGCGUCGUGUAAACCAAAAUUAUUACAGAAUCCUUCAUUUUCUAAUUUAUCAAGUGCGUAUUCACAUAAAAAAAUUGUUAACAUAUAACUAUUAUAAUAUAAAUUAGUAAAUAUAUCAUUUUCGUAUAAUUUGAAGAGCUACGCGUAUUUAAAUGGAGAUUUAAAAUAACAAAAAUUAUUUCCGUUAUAUGUGAUUCUUAAAUUUUUAAGUUAAUGUAAAACUAGUAUGUGCACCAAGAUGUAUGUGACGAGGCAAUUCUAGUCGUGAUAUUUAUCGUAUGUGCAAUAAAGCCCUGUGGUAUUAACCAACACAAAAAUAACUCUGAAAAGAUUUGGGGAAAGAAGUUUUUGCCACUAAAAAUGAAUCUCAACUUUCUCAUAUCUUCUACUUUAUUUUCCCUACUUCUCAUUCUCCGUAUACUUUCUCACAAUAUGAUACCAAAGCGAACUGACACGUGCGACUACAGCCCGUCAGGAAGAACUCCGCUGACGAAAGGAAAUGUGGUUUGCGGGAAGACGGAUAUCGAGGGUGCCAGAGGGUGAGCGCGAUAAAGAGAAGUUGCCAGCCAGAGGUGACACCCUAGAUUAAACAGCACUUCCAACGCUCUGCGGGACCACGGCAAUAAAUAAUGAUGAAAGUUUUAGUAUCACGCUAAGUUUGUGUAACGCAUGCCUUCGUAAUUCACAACGGAUAUAACUGUUUUCCGAGGGAAAAAAACAUGCGUGGCAAGAGAGAGAAAGGAGAGAUUGCGAUCUUGGCGCAGCAAAACGAGGGUUUCAAUUUUCAAUAUCCUGUCGCUCAGGCAAAUGGAGCAAAUAGCAUAUUCAUGAAGAUAUGAGAAUUCUCGAAAGCCUUAGCAGUCGCGGAAUACGGAUCGAAUGGUUUGCGGGAAGUGUUUGCUUUCCGCGUCUUAUAACGAAUUGACUUCCAUUCUCCGCAAUUGAUUUAAAACUCGGAAAAGCUGGCGGAAAGAGACGUUUCUUUGAUCGUAUGAUAUUUAGCACUCGGAAAUUGUCGUGAAUUAAUUUUUGAUGGGAUUCACACCGCCAUUUCAGGAAUCUGUGAUCACAUUAUUCCACAAAAUUCCUUACAAAAGCAGCUGUUGCAAACAUUAAAUAAUAGAAUUUUUAAGCAGCCCCUUGUUUCUCUUAUUAUACUUAUUUCAUUUAUAUCUUAUGGAACAAAAUGCCAAGUCAACUAUUUUUGCAUAUACAAAUUUUGAAAAUAGCGUCAAGAAUCAUUAAGUUCUCCAAUAUAUAUUUUACUGGAAUCAUUUCCGUCGCGUUUUAAUACACUCGCACUCGAUCACAAAAGCGUGAUGCUGAUUUAAUCGAGAUGGAUCAUUUACAGGAAUCCUCGUGAAAGCAGGCCACAUACAUCAUCGAGACAACCUUCCAAUAUCCAUUUAGAAAUCCUGCGCGAUGGAAAGAAAUAGAUCACGAAUCGUCGGUGACUCGUUCUAUUUGACGCAGAAGAAUGAACUCAAGCAA